GUAGGGGGCAAGCGUUGUCCGGAUUUAUUGGGCGUAAAGAGCGUGUAGGCGGCUAAAUAGGUCCGUUGUGAAAACUCGAGGCUCAACCUCGAGAUGCCGAUGGAAACCAUUUGGCUAGAGUCCGGAAGAGGAGAGUGGAAUUCCCGGUGUAGCGGUGAAAUGCGCAGAUAUCGGGAAGAACACCCGUGGCUAAGGCGGCUCUCUAGUACGGUACUGACGCUGAGACGCGAAAGCGUGGGGAGCGAACAGGAUUAGAUACCCUGGUAGUCCACGCCGUAAACGAUGGGUGCUAGGUGUGGGAGGUGUCGACUCCUUCCGUGCCGAAGCUAACGCAUUAAGCACCCCGCCUGGGGAGUACGGCCGCAAGGCUA
rnacentral:rRNA from 1 species